rnacentral:rRNA from 1 species
UCGGGAAUUUUGGGCAAUGGGCGAAAGCCUGACCCAGCAACGCCGCGUGAGGGAUGAAGUAUUUCGGUAUGUAAACCUCGAAAGAAUGGGAAGAAUAAAUGACGGUACCAUUUAUAAGCUCCGGCUAACUACGUGCCAGCAGCCGCGGUAAUACGUAGGGAGCAAGCGUUGUUCGGAUUUACUGGGCGUAAAGGGCGCGUAGGCGGCGCGGUAAGUCACUUGUGAAAUCUCUGAGCUUAACUCAGAACGGCCAAGUGAUACUGCUGUUCUAGAGUGCGGAAGAGGCAACCGGAAUUCUUGGUGUAGCGGUGAAAUGCGUAGAUAUCAAGAGGAACACCUGAGGCGAAGGCGGGUUGCUGGGCCGACACUGACGCUGAUGCGCGAAAGCCAGGGGAGCAAACG